AGUCGUUUGGGCGACUAUAAACAGACGAAUAAGCCCAAAGCGUUUCCUCGUAAGAGGAAGGACGGA
rnacentral:ribozyme from 10 species